AUACGGAGGGUGCAAGCGUUAAUCGGAAUUACUGGGCGUAAAGCGCUCGUAGGCGGCUUGUUAAGUCGGAUGUGAAAGCCCCGGGCUCAACCUGGGAACUGCAUUCGAUACUGGCAAACUAGAGUAUAGAAGAGGCAAGUGGAAUUCCGGGUGUAGCGGUGAAAUGCGUAGAUAUCCGGAGGAACAUCAGUGGCGAAGGCGACUUGCUGGUCUAAUACUGACGCUGAGGAGCGAAAGCGUGGGGAGCAAACGGGAUUAGAUACCCCGGUAGUCC
rnacentral:rRNA from 1 species